CUGAACUAAUGACUGAUAUUUUUGUUGGUUUAUCGGUUGGGUCAGGUCGGCUCUUAUACCGAAAGCAGGCCAUAAUAUUAUUAGUCAAAUGGAAAAACAAAGUGAUUCUAAUCUUAUAUAAAAAAAACCUCUUCCACUUGAGAAAUUUGGACCGCUGAAUUUAUGGCAUCCACCAACUGAAUAUAUGACGAACAGCACAAUCUGCAAGGGAGAUUCUGGAAAGAUGAUUUACAGAGAGAAGUAUUCAAAGAAAUAGAACUAGUAUAAGCCAGCAUUGUAUAUAUAAUGACCAACACAGUAGUUUUUCCAUGCCCCCCGCAGAGAAAAACCAGAAAAAAGGUAAAAACACAGAGGCUUAAUUCACGCCUGGCUCUCCGGAUCAGAAGGCGCAGUUAUAUAUUAUUUUAAGUAUGAUUACAGUUAUUUUUUAAAAUAUUUUUUAUUUUAAAAUAUAUUAAAAUAAUAUAUUUUUUAUUUUUUAAAAAUUAUUUUUGAUAUCAGCACAUCAAAAUAAUCUGAAAAUACUAAAAAUAUAUUAAUUUAAAAAAAAAUUUAAUUUUUUCAAAAAUAUUUUUAAAAUAUAAAAACAAACAAAAAUAAAUAUGAAAAUCAAUAUUCGUAUCUUUGAUUAGGAGGAGAAUCAAGGAUUGAUAACCCUCCUGACUAGAUAUGACAAGGAUAUUCUACUUCUUUGCACAAAAAAACAAACCAAUGACGGGAUUCGAUACCUUUUCCAUUGAAAUCUACUCGGAAGAGAAGAAAAAAGGUGUAUAAAACAAAAUGGCUGCUUUUAAUUUUUGGUGGAAUUAGAAGAAGUAACUUUCAGACACGUCAUUUUCUGAGCGCUUCUGAGAGAAGUUUUCAAUUUGUUUUUCCCUGAAAAGAAUAAAAUUAUUUAAAUAAUUUUGAUGCGACGUGAAAAUUAUAAAAAAAUUGAAAAAAAUAUUAAUUUAAAUAAAAAACACUGUCUUUGGGUCCUUGCAGCUCCUUUAAUUACUGGGGUGUGGCAUGCUCGUCCGGAUGUAUAAAACAAAUAGGGUUAUGGAUAAAAAGAAAAGAAAAUUAAAUGAAGGGAUGUGCAAAACCAACUUCAUUUGCAAGGUAUAAGUGCUUUUCGUGCGGUUGGUGAGAGAUGUUUUCACAACUUUAAUAUGCCACAAGGAGAUUGCUUUAAUUUUAUUUAUUUUUAGCCCUACACUGUUUAUAUUCUGGACUGUGAUGUAAAAUAGUUUUUAAAAUAGUUUUUUAUUUGAAAAUAUAUUAAAAUAUUAUUUUUAGUUUUUUUUAUUUUUAAUAUCAACAUAUUAAAAUUUUAAAAAAAUAUUAAAAAAAAUAAUUUAAUAUAUUUUAAAUAAAAAAUACUGAAACAUAAAUAUAAAUUCUCUUGAAAUACCGUCGUAUAUCCGAAAACUUCAUUUUAACACUAACCUAAAAAAAAGGUUGUGAGAGAGAGAAAAAACUUUUCGUGAAUAUGCAUCAUACACUAACCAGACAACUAAUCGAAAACCUAAUCAUAGAAAUCUUGGUGUGCAGAGAUUGAUCAAAGAUGCUAUUAUCAGUAAAAAAAUAGGAAGACGAAACUACCUUUCUUCUUUUUGAAGAAUCAAAGGGAGUAAAGAUGACAUCUUUUCUUCGCCUAAUAUACCUGUGUCUCUCAAUGAGCUGAUGGGCUACCUUUGUAGCUUUACGAGAAUCACAUGGCAGAACAAUUUUGAGCUAUUUCCCAGCCCAAAGCAGUUCUCCUUCGUGGUAUGUAAGCCGGGAAAAACAUAAAAAGGUCAAAAUAAUGAAAAGCAGGUCUAAACACAGCCCCUGCCUCUCUUUUUACAGAAAAAAAGUCAAAAUUAGGCAUCGAACCCAGC
rnacentral:lncRNA from 1 species